rnacentral:rRNA from 1 species
AGCUCUUCGAGUGUAUUUCAGAGUUGUUGCAGUUAAAAAGCUCGUAGUUGACGUUUUCAGUCGAUUACUCGUUUGUGUAUUUCGAAUAGAUCUGCAUGAGCGAGUGAGAUCGACAACUAGUACUUGUGGAGUCUUGUGCGUGUCUCUUAAGUGGGGUGCGUUUCGAGUUCCACUCGUUUAUUGUGAAGAAACCAGAAUGUUCAAAGUAGCCGUAAUUGGCAUGAAUGUUCCAGCAUGAGAUGAUAGAAUAAGACUUUCGGUUUAUAUUUGUUGGUUUGAAAGCCGAGAGAAAUGAGUGAUAGGGACGGGUCGGCGGUCGACGUAUUUUCUAGGGAGAGGUGAAAUUCAGUGAUCUAGAAAAGACGAACGAAUGCGCAGGCUUCGACCGAGCACGUGCCCG